UGAUGACGGUACCGUUUGUAAGCUCCGGCUAACUCCGUGCCAGCAGCCGCGGUAAUACGGGGGGAGCAAGCGUUGUUCGGAUUUACUGGGCGUAAAGGGCGCGUAGGCGGCCAGCACAAGUCAGUUGUGAAAUCUCCGAGCUUAACUCGGAAAGGUCAACUGAUACUGNGCGGCUAGAGUGCGGAAGGGGCAACUGGAAUUCUUGGUGUAGCGGUGAAAUGCGUAGAUAUCAAGAGGAACACCUGCGGCGAAGGCGGGUUGCUGGGCCGACACUGACGCUGAGGCGCGAAAGCUAGGGGAGCGAACGGGAUUAGAUACCCCGGUAGUCCUAGCCUUAAACGAUGAAUGCUUGGUGUCUGGGGUUAUAAAGUCCCCGGGUGCCGUCGCUAACGCUUUAAGCAUUCCGCCUGGGGAGUACGGUCGCAAGACUGAAACUCAAA
rnacentral:rRNA from 1 species